AACGGGGGGAACUAGCGUUAUUCGUCAUGACUGGGCGUAAAGGGUAUGUAGGUGGUAUUUUAAGCACAAUGUAAAAUAGUAGAAGUUCAAAUUCUAACCCGCAUUGUGUACUGAUUUACUUGAGUAUGGUAGAGGAUCGGGGAACCUUUGGGGGAACGGUGGUAUGUGCAAAUCCCAAUCAGGGACCGUCAACGAGCGAAAGCGCUAAUCUGGGCCAUAACUGACACUGAGGUACUAAAGCAUGCUGGUAGCAAACGGG
rnacentral:rRNA from 1 species